UACAGAGGUCUCGAGCGUUAGGCGGAAUCACUGGGCUUAAAGCGUGUGUAGGUGGAUCGUUAAGUACCUUGUGAAAUCCCUCGGCUUAACCGGGGAACUGCAUCUGAUACUGGAUGGCUUGAGUUCGGGAGAGGGAUGCGGAAUUCCAGGUGUAGCGGUGAAAUGCGUAGAUAUCUGGAGGAACACCGGUGGCGAAGGCGGCAUCCUGGACCGACACUGACGCUGAGGAGCGAAAGCCAGGGGAGCAAACGGG
rnacentral:rRNA from 1 species